rnacentral:lncRNA from 1 species
GUUGUCUAUGCAUAAAUCACUUAACCUGUCAAUUCUAAUAGCGUCCCUAUUAUGCAAUUAGAGAGAUCAGUGGAUUUGUCAUGUCAUUCAUUCUGUCAUUUGAUGCAAGACAAAAGUGAAUAUGGAUAAGUGUAGUGUAGUAUAGAAAAAUUCGAGUGGAUAUUAUGGAUAUUGUUAACUAGUGUUUUGCUCCAGAAAAGAAGGUUCAAUGCAUCCAGUGUCGUGUCGUUACAACGGGGUCGAUAUAAUCGGGAAAGGUAGGAGUAUAGUUAUUUCU